CACGGAGUUAGCCGAUCCUUAUUCGUACGAUACUUUCAAACGGAUACACGUAUCCGAGUUUACCCUCGUACAAAAGCAGUUUACAACUCAUAGAGCCGUCUUCCUGCACGCGGCAUGGCUGGUUCAGACUUGCGUCCAUUGACCAAUAUUCCUCACUGCUGCCUCCCGUAGGAGUUUGGUCCGUGUCUCAGUACCAAUGUGGGGGGUUAACCUCUCAGUCCCCCUAUGUAUCGUUGUCUUGGUGAGCCGUUACCCCACCAACUAACUAAUACAACGCAUGCCCAUCCAUUACCACCGGAGUUUUCAACCCAAGAAGAUGCCUCCCUGGAUGUUAUGGGGUAUUAGUACCGAUUUCUCAGUGUUAUCCCCCUGUAAUGGGUAGGUUGCAUACGCGUUACGCACCCGUGCGCCGGUCGCCGACAAUCAGUGCAAGCACUGAUCUCGCUGCCCCUCGACUUGCAUGUGUAAGCCUGCCGCUAGCGUUUCAUCCUGACG
rnacentral:rRNA from 1 species